UGAUGAUUGUAAAUGCAAAAUUUGUUCAAGAAACAACGGAUUCUGCUCUGUAUGCAUGUGUUUAGUAUGUUCUAACUUCGAUUAUGCCACUAAUACUUGUCGUUGGGUAGGCUGUGACCGAUGUUCACACUGGUGUCAUGCUGUCUGCUCUGUUCAGAGAAAUCUUAUAAAGCCAGGUCCAAGUAUCAAUGGGCCAUCUGGAACAACUGAGAUGCAAUUUCACUGUCUUGGUUGUGGUCAUUCUAGUGAAAUGUUUGGAUUUGUUAGAGACGCGUACAUGCAUUGUUCAAAGGACUGGGGUGAAAAAACUCUAAUAG
rnacentral:misc_RNA from 1 species